rfam:Felis catus isolate Cinnamon breed Abyssinian chromosome A1, whole genome shotgun sequence.
GGCUGGCUCAGUUGGUGGAGCAUGUGACUCUUGAUCUCAGGGUUGUGAGUUCGAGCCCCACCCA